rnacentral:piRNA from 1 species
UAGUCUGCUAAGAAUUCGUGAGAGGC